rnacentral:lncRNA from 1 species
AACAGAUCUCUCCCUCCCCGCUCUCCACCCCUAAAAUGCUUAAAAGGUAACCUGACUCUUUGUUCUGGGCUCAGUCCUUUGGAUAUUAAUCUGACUGGGUUGGCUGGUGCACCUAAAUAAUACAUAUAUCCUCCUCAACCCCAUCAGUCUCUCUGAUUCCUAAAUCAUCCCCAAACAUUUCUGGUGGCCCAUAUGGGGAUUGGAGAUAACAGAUUUACUGUCUCCUUUGCCCGUGGGACUAGGGCCCUGGGGCUGUGGAAGACCUGGCAUCCAAGGCAUGCCAUGGGGGAGUUUCACCCGGAUGGAGACUGGCUCUCCCCGCAUCCUGCCCAGCAGUGCAACUGAACCUGAGAUGGGGCUGCAGGAUGAUACCAGCACUUCAGGAACCGCGUUGCAGGUGUCACACCUUGGAUUCACCAUAGCUGGCUGAAACUAGCGGCAGCAGUGACUCCCGACUAUGACCAGUGGAUUAACCAACAAGAUCCUGAUCGCCCCACCCGAAUAGACCUACGGCGAAUCCCAACCACCAGUAAGAAGGACAACUGCCCUGCUCUGACCACACUGGAGGCUGGUCAGUCUACACAUGGCUGAAGCUUGAAGAUCUUGCAAGCUCUGCUCUAGUCACAUCCUGGAAGCUGACUAGUCUACACACAGCCGAAGCUAAGAGGACCAUCUCUAGAUAAGUAAAUGUAGAUAAAAUUUAUAAGCCUAGUUAUAAUUGUUCUGUUGUUACAUUAUUACUGCAAAUGCUGCAAAUGUCCAUGCCCAGAGGAAGGUUUGCCAUGCCUAUGUGUAGUGUAAGCAUGUUUCUAUUACAUAUACUAAAGUUGUUACCAUUUCUGCCUAUACUAGAAGGGGAGAAAUCUCUAGAAGGAUGCCCACACUGUGUACAUACUACCUGGGUAAGGAAUACCAUAGUUAAAACUCUACUGUACCAUACCUACAGUACAGGAACCAAGUUAGGAACCUGCACAUACAACCAGACCACCUAUUCAGUCUGUGACCCAGGAAAUAACCAGCUAUAUGCAUGUUAUGACCCUAAGCUCUUACCCUAUGAAUUCUGGUUUGAAAUACAUAUUAAAUCGGAGGGAGAAAAAGAAGGAGAGUUAUAGCUCGAACAAAAGAAGCCCCUCCCUCCUGUAAAGGGCCUAUUUCCUUGUACUUUGAUGCCUGCUAUGCUGCAUAUGUUCACAAUCCUAAAAAAAACAGAAGCAGUCUGCAAUGGUGUAACACAAGAGAGGCUUAGCAGAAGCAGCCCUAAGCAUCUGUACAAAGAACCACAAAUCCGACACCCAGACUGUAACAUUCAGUGGUCCACACUAACACAACUCCAAUAUUUAUAUUCAGGAAGGAGUGCUCUGCUAAGUAGUAUGUCAACCAAACCAAACUGUAAGACAAGAACAUGCAAUCCUUUAAAUUUUACUAUCUUAAAGCCAGAGAUACCUUUCUGGUCUACAGGACAGACAGCACUAUAAUGACUUGAUAGGCUAGGAGCAGGCCUUGGAGUUCCACUACUAAUUGUCAAAAAGACUAAAAGGACUCAAAUGCAUCCAACCCCGCAAUUCUGGGUCCAUAAUCAUUCUAUAAGCAUUUGGAUAAGCCAGUGCCUGAGCUUCCCCCACCAACCAAAAACUUAUUUGCUCAACUAGCUGAAAACAUAGCUGGCAGCUUAGGAAUUUCCUCAUGCUAUGUACGUGGAGGAACUCAUAUGGGGAACCAGUGGCCAUGGGAGGCAAAGGAAUUAAUGCCACAAGAUAACUUCACUUCGCUUAACCCUGCCAGUGAACCAACAGCCUCAGCCAGUGUUUGGUUGUUAAAAACCUCCAUAAUUGGAAAGUACCGUAUCGCCCGUUGGGGAAAGGCUUUCACAGAGGCAGUAGGAGAAAUAACCUGCCUAGGGCAACAGUAUUAUGAUGAGACUAAAAACAAAACUCUAUGGAGAAGCACCCAGAAUUACUCCUACUUACCAGAUCCAAAUCCUUUAUCUCCAUUCUCUACCCUAAGCCACACUUGGCAUCAGCGAGAGGUUCCAAAUGCUUCGAAAGCACCCUCUGGCCUAUAUUGGAUCUGUGGAGCAUGGGCAUAUUGGCAACUGCCAGCUAAAUGGACAGGAGCAUGUGUGUAGGAACAAUCAAGCCAUCCUUCUUUCUAAUUCCUCUAAAGCAAGGGGAACUCUUAUGGUAUCCAGUUGAUGAUGAAAAUAAAAGAAGAACUAGAAGAGCAUAAUCACAAAAAUAGACACAAAUGUCAAAAAGGAUGUGGACAUAGGAGACUGGAAAGAUAAUGAAUGGCCUCCUGAAAGAAUAAUUAAAUAUUAUUGGCCAGCUACCUGGGUGCAAGAUGGGUCAUGGGGUUACCACACCCCAAUCUAUAUGCUCAACUGCAUCAUAAGGUUGCAGGCAGUCUUUGAAAUUAUAACCAAUGAAACGUCAAGGGCACUAGAUUUAUUGGCAAUACAAGCAACACAAAUGAGAAAUGCUAUAUAUUGAAAUAGAUUGGCAUUAGAUUAUCACUUAGCCUCUGAAGGAAGAGUAUGUGGAAAAUUUAAUUUAACCAACUGUUGCCUAGAAAUUGCUAAUAAUGGCCGGGUUGUCAUGGAAAUCAGAGCUAGAAUGCACAAGUUGGCCCAUGUUCCAAUUCAGACUUGGUCCUAAUGGUCCCUGGAUUCUUUGUUUGGAGGAUGGUUCUCAACCUUUGGAGGAUUCAAAACCCUCAUUGGUGGGUUUUUGUUUAUUCUUGGCAUCUGCCUCAUCCUCCCUUACCUUUUACCCCUGUUUAUUAGGAGCAUUCAGUCAACUAUAGAGGCAGUAAUAACUCAACACACUACCGCACAGUUGAUGGCAUUAACCAAAUAUCAGCCACUGCCAGUAGAAGAAGCUCAGCUCUGUGAAGAGGUGGCAAAUAGUGGUGCUUUCUAUUAACACCUUUGUUAUAAAAAGCAACAAAGGGGGGAAAUGGAACAGGAAUUAAAAGAAAUUAAAGAAUGCAUAAGCAAAAACUCAAUUGUAGGUAGGGAAACCCAAUUCCUCCUGAGGAAGAGAAAGAGGUAGAGUCCUUUAAAAAUUCACUGCCUGUUUUUCCGUCUGUAGCUAGUGAGCCUUAUCUCUCCCUUUCCCAGGCAUUGUGAAGACCCUGUUUCUCCAGCUGUGCAGCUGCAUGGUCACUAGACAGAUAAACUCAAGUUGUAAAACAUGUUUUUCCUUGAAAAGUAAGAAAUGAUGUAAUACAUGUCUCAAUUGAAUAACUGUCUUUGUUUCUUGCUUCUGUAGUAUGCUUCCCCCUGCACAGAUCUCCCCUCUCACCCCAUGAAAUGCUUAAAAGGUAACCUGACUCUUUGUUCAGGGCUCAGUCCUUUGGAUGUUAAUCUGACUGGGCUGGUGCACCUAAAUAAUAAAUAAAUCCUCCUCAACCCCACUGGUCUCUCUGAUUCCUAAAUUAUCCCGCAACAACUAUACUCAGAGAUCAUAU